rnacentral:rRNA from 1 species
UACGAAGGGGGCUAGCGUUGCUCGGAAUGACUGGGCGUAAAGCGCGUGUAGGCGGUUUACACAGUCAGAUGUGAAAUCCCCGGGCUUAACCUGGGAGCUGCAUUUGAUACGUGUAGACUAGAGUGUGAGAGAGGGUUGUGGAAUUCCAGGUGUAGAGGUGAAAUUCGUAGAGAUUGGGAAGAACACCGGUGGCGAAGGCGGCAACCUGGCUCAUUACUGACGCUGAGGCGCGAAAGCGUGGGGAGCAAACAGG